UCGUGAGAUGUUGGGUUAAGUCCCGUAACGAGCGCAACCCUUGUCCUUAGUUACCAGCACCUCGGGUGGGCACUCUAAGGAGACUGCCGGUGACAAACCGGAGGAAGGUGGGGAUGACGUCAAGUCAUCAUGGCCCUUACGGCCAGGGCUACACACGUGCUACAAUGGUCGGUACAAAGGGUUGCCAAGCCGCGAGGUGGAGCUAAUCCCAUAAAACCGAUCGUAGUCCGGAUCGCAGUCUGCAACUCGACUGCGUGAAGUCGGAAUCGCUAGUAAUCGUGAAUCAGAAUGUCACGGUGAAUACGUUCCCGGG
rnacentral:rRNA from 1 species